rnacentral:rRNA from 1 species
ACGAACGCUGGCGGCGUGCUUAACACAUGCAAGUCGAGUGCGCGUCUGUAGCAAUACAGAUGGCGCACGGCGCACGGGUGCGUAACACGUGGGUAAUCUGCCCUUCGAUGGGGAAUAACUCCGGGAAACCGAAGCUAAUUCCGCAUAACAUUCCUUGAACCUCGGUUUGGGGACUCAAAGCCGUAAGGCGUCGGAGGAGGAACCCGCGCACGAUUAGUUAGUUGGCAGGGUAACGGCCUACCAAGACUUUGAUCGUUAGCUGGUCUGAGAGGAUGGCCAGCCACACUGGAACUGAGACACGGUCCAGACUCCUACGGGAGGCAGCAGUGGGGAAUCUUGCACAAUGGGCGAAAGCCUGAUGCAGCGACGCCGCGUGG